GCCGAGAGAGAAGAGCUGAGAGAAACCGAAAGAAACUCCAACCAGUCCUCUUUUCUUUUUCUUCAAUCUUGAACAUCAAUCAAGAAACAAGAAAAUUAUAAUGCAUCCUAGCCAAGAAUUGGGAAGAAAGGCAGAAAUUUCCAGCUCAAAAAAAAAAACCGUGGGGAAAGAAAUUGAAGCUAUAAGUUUCAUUGCAGCUUCCAUUCUUGCAAGAUCAAAGGGUACGGGGAUGACAAGGAUAAGAAUAGUGCUAGUUGUAAUAGGAAAUCUUAAUCUUGUAUUUGGACGGCACUGUAUUAUGGUAUUAGUUUACAAGUUCUUAUCUUUUGGUCUGUAUUUUGGUUUGUAUAUUCGGAUGAUCGGUAGCAUGUAGAUGUUAUAUUGAAGAAUUUUAGCGUUAUUAAUUUGCUAUCCAACGAAUAAGGAAUUCAAAAGUUGUAGUCCGUAUUUUAAAUAAUUGCAAUCCUAUUUAUACUUAGAGAAGUGAUUGAACUA